UCCGUGCCAGCAGCCGCGGUAAUACGGAGGGUGCGAGCGUUAAUCGGAAUUACUGGGCGUAAAGCGCAUGCAGGUGGUUCAUUAAGUCAGAUGUGAAAGCCCGGGGCUCAACCUCGGAACUGCAUUUGAAACUGGUGAACUAGAGUACUGUAGAGGGGGGUAGAAUUUCAGGUGUAGCGGUGAAAUGCGUAGAGAUCUGAAGGAAUACCAGUGGCGAAGGCGGCCCCCUGGACAGAUACUGACACUCAGAUGCGAAAGCGUGGGGAGCAAACAGGAUUAGAUACCCUGGUAGUCCACGCCGUAAACGAUGUCUACUUGGAGGUUGUGGCCUUGAGCCGUGGCUUUCGGAGCUAACGCGUUAAGUAGACCGCCUGGGGAGUACGGUCGCAAGAUUAAAACUCAAAUGAAUUGACGGGGGCCCGCACAAGCGGUGGAGCAUGUGGUUUAAUUCGAUGCAACGCGAAGAACCUUACCUACUCUUGACAUCCAGAGAAGCCAGCGGAGACGCAGGUGUGCCUUCGGGAGCUCUGAGACAGGUGCUGCAUGGCUGUCGUCAGCUCGUGUUGUGAAAUGUUGGGUUAAGUCCCGCAACGAGCGCAACCCUUAUCCUUGUUUGCCAGCGAGUAAUGUCGGGAACUCCAGGGAGACUGCCGGUGAUAAACCGGAGGAAGGUGGGGACGACGUCAAGUCAUCAUGGCCCUUACGAGUAGGGCUACACACGUGCUACAAUGGCGCAUACAGAGGGCAGCAAGCUAGCGAUAGUGAGCGAAUCCCAAAAAGUGCGUCGUAGUCCGGAUUGGAGUCUGCAACUCGACUCCAUGAAGUCGGAAUCGCUAGUAAUCGUAGAUCAGAAUGCUACGGUGAAUACGUUCCCGGGCCUUGUACACACCGCCCGUCACACCAUGGGAGUGGGCUGCAAAAGAAGUGGGUAGUUUAACCUUUCGGGGAGGACGCUCACCACUUUGUGGUUCAUGACUGGGGUGAAGUCGUAACAAGGUAGCCCUA
rnacentral:rRNA from 1 species